rnacentral:piRNA from 2 species
UUCUAUAUACAGUAGAAAGUUCUUGAAAGC